rnacentral:sRNA from 1 species
GUCAGCGGGUCUGGCCUGAAGUGCUGGGGGUUGGGACAAAAGGAAGCGCUGGUCUGACACAGGAUUGCCCCUGCACUGACCUCCUCUGCAAGGCCGAGUGAGCAAGAUAUAUUUUUCCCCUCUUGGACUCGGACCUUAGAGAAAGAAGGUGAGCCUUUUUCCAGGAAAAGCCAAAAGAAAUCCAGCAAAAACUCUCGAGGCAGUUCGGAGGAGGCAUCCUUCCAGCCUCCCACUCUAUUGUCUUCUGCAGAACCACCUCUUCCAGCCCAGCCCAGCCUAAGAAAAGAUACAUCAAUAUCCUCAAUAUCAGGGACACUGACCGGGUGAAGGACGGAGCCCUCUGCUUCGUUAUUUCUGCUUGACGGACUGAGGAGUUCUUCCUACACACUGGGAGAAGUACCUACAGACAGGCUUUCCAGACCCACAGCAAGCCUAACCACCGUGGAACACAGGAAAGAAGUAGAAGACAGGAAACAGGAAAGGGCCAAGGUCACAGCAGAGAAGCAACUUCUCGCACACGGACUUUGCCUUAAGUCUUGUUGGCUGGACCACAGAGUAACCCCCUACAAAGGACAUUAGGAAAUAAGCUUCAAGCAAAUGCUACCAUCUGCAGUAAAAUUGAAGUUCUGUCAGGGAAAAGAAGAGAAGGAUGUCAUAUCGAAGAGCAUCACCAGGAUCUCUCCGCUGGACUUUCCAUCCCUUGGUUUCAGGAAAUAGUUUCUGGUGCUAAAAAACACAAAAGCCCAGUUCUAGAGCAUAGUGGCAGGCCCUGGCUGCUAAGCCAUCCUGUCUCUGUGGGGAGAGCAGAGAGAAGGCUUCAGCCAUGUUACAGAGUGACUGUGUACAGGAGCUGUGAACACGCAGGGGAGAGGCCCAAUACACACAGGACAGCAGGGAAUCCUAUUAACUAUCAAGUGACACCCCAAGAAUAAGGAUGAUGAAGCAUUCUGACUGGAGUACAAAACCAGGGACAGCAGGGAUACAUGAGGCUGGGGAGAGACUGGAAAACCAAGUGUCGUACAAAGAAUGGAGGCCUUAUCCCCAGAGCACAGGGACAGCCACUGAAGACUUCUGAGUAGCAGGGGCUCUGAGCUGAUCUGCAUUCCCCAUAAGCCCAUCUGGCAACCAGAUGAGAGAGGAAAGGGGCGAGAUCCAGAAAGAGUUCCAGGAGCAGAGAUAUGAACUUGGACUGUGCAAGAGGUAGGGAGAAAAAAUUCAGGAGACGGCACUCAUGUGCCUGUGGUACACACGUCAGUGAGGAGUCCCACCACUCCUCUCACACACACAGUGCUUGCCACAUUCAUCCCCAGCAGAGAGGACCCAGAAGGACUAGCAGCCAUGGGGAAAGCCAGUGGUGUCCUAAGGAUUCACUUUGAGUUCACCCAGUUUGAACUACAUACAGGUAAAGAUGGGCAGCCGGAGUCUAAGUAUUUAUCCUUAUGCCCACAGAUGAUUGUAGCUCCCGUCUCUCACCAGAUAACUCUUCUGUGCAACAGAUGGACACCAUUCCAGAAAACCACCACUGGUCAAAGCACAGAGGGCAAGCGAUCGUGGCUGUUAAGUCCCAGGUGACACAUGUGCAUCCCAACUGUGUCACUGAAGACUCCUGGAACAUUCUGGAAGAUGUGGCGGAGGGCUUCAUUCUAAGAGCCAAAGGACCAGGAAGUCAGCUGUGAGACUGUCUCCUAGAAACAAAAGGGAAGCAUCUCUCUUGAUACUCAACAUUAUCAGUGUCUAAACAAGACCUGCUUGAGGAUGACAGCAGCAGCAGAUGUCCUAACAGAGAAAGAGGAAAUCUCACAGGCCCCACCCAUAGGCAAAGAACUACAGGCAGCUAAGGAAUUCGGAGAAAAAAGUCUUCCCCAAGGAGGAGCCUUACACUUGGCUACCCAAUGCCAAGUGGUCAGCCUUGAAAUCAUAUACAUACGAGUAACAUCAAAUGGACUGAACCGGUUGGGUUUACAUUUAUCUAUUUACAUUGUAUGUGUGUGUGUGUGUGUGUGUGUGUGUGUGUGUGUGUGUGUGUGUGCCAUGAGUUUGAGAGGGACCAGAGGAAGCGUUAGAGGGAAUAGAAGAACAGGAGAACAUGAUAUUAUAUUUCUUUUAAAUUAAAAUAAAUACUUUUGAAAGUGGGCAGCUGGUAGGUGGCUAUGCUGACUCAUUGCCCAGGAUAGACACAGAAGUCAAGAAAAGGGUGGGUGGAGGUACGCCAGCCCUCCGGGAAGGAGGAUGUCUCCCAGUGAGAGUGUGAGGAGAAGGACAUCCAGAAACGAAUGCAGCAACAUCUGCCCAAGAAAUAGAACCAGAGCGGAGGAAGGUAGGCCAGGGGAGAGAGUUGCCGGUAGAGACCAGAGGUCAUGUUCAAAGAGGAAGACUGAAGACCGACCAUGCUGUGAACAAGGUAUGACCUAAGGGGCAGCUACUGAGCUGACCAGGUCCUGCACUGAGGACCCAAGCAAGGGUGUCUCCAGCGGAUGAUAUGGUUGAAGGCCAGAUUCUGUGGGUGCAGGAGAACCCAGGAUAGAGAAAGUGUAAACGCACGGUGUUCCUGAUUUUUUUUUACUCACCGGUCACAAUUGGGUCAAAUUGUGUGAUGACUAAAGGCAAAAGUCUUUCUUGUAUAUGUUUUACUAUCUUAACUACUUUUUAUUUGUUCUCUCACAGUGACACACACACACACACACACUUACUUUGGCCACAUCUCCCCACCUCCCAGUAUCCUCUCUUCCCUCUCCUCUCUCACUAAACCCUUUCAUGCUCCCAGCAACCCCCUCCUACUUUCAUAUUUUUCUCUCUGCUGUUGCUAAUUUGUUUUUGUUUUGUUUCCUUGUGACCCACUGAAUUUAAUUAGGGCUACCCGCACGAGCAUGGGUGGGGAGUUAUUUACUCGAGCAAGAACAACCUUCCAGUAGCUAGCCCACUGAGGACUGUGACUCUCUCUGCCUCAGCAACCAUUAAUUGCCUGUGGUUCCUCAGGGAGGGGUGGGACCUUGUGAGCCCCUCCCUUGUCCAUGAUGGAAUGUUGUGAGUUCAUGAUGCAAAAGCCAUGUCCUGUCCAGAAGACAGCAUUUAUGGUACUCCUUCUCGCCCUUGGGCUGUCCUGUCUAGUGCUUUGUGCUCAAUGGUCACUUAGCCAUCUGAGUCUCUCCACUCACUGAGGAUGCUUCUCUAACCAAGGCCAAGUACUGAUGUAUGGUAAAAACAGUAUUUAAAAGGCACUUUGACACCAUGUCCAUCUAGCAAAACAAAAGUAACAGGUUCUCCCUCUAAGGCCUAUGAUCUCCUUAGCCGUGGGUUUUUGACCAGGUUUACAGUACCUGGUCUGGAUUCCUCCUGCGAAGCAGGUCUACAAGCCAAUAAGAAAGUGGUUGGUUGGGGUUGGGGAUUUAGCUCAGUGGUAGAGCGCUUGCCUAGCAAACGCAAGGCCCUGGGUUCGGUCCUCAGCUCCGAAAAAAAGAAAGUGGUUGGUUGGCCACGACAGUCACACCACUACUGCUUGGUGGUGUAACUCUCGGGGUUCGCACUAGAAUAGGACCAUUGAUGGCAUUCCUUCUCCAGUGCCUGUACGGCACUUAGAGCCUUUGAGCACUCAGAGACCAGCCGGCAGUAAGACGCUCCUAGUUCAGGUUCAGAUUGAUGUCGCUAUAUCCUGCAACUGAAGUGUAAGACACCUUCAGCAAUAUGGUCUUUAUCAACUAGUUCUAGUGGGCCAUUCAGAGCAAUGGCUGUGGCCUGAAUUGUUUUGAGAGCCCUUCGGUCCUUCCCGGCCAACAAUUCAUGAGGCGAUACCCUACCCAAUUUUAUAUCUUUAUUUAACACAUACUUCUAACGAUGGGAAUUCAUUUAAUACUCUAAAUAAUCCAAUGAAAGAAUCCUAGAGAGAUGGUUCAGUGAUUAAGCGUGAGUACAGCUUUUGCAGAGGACUAGAGUUCAGUUCCCAGCACCCAUGUCAGAUGACUCACAGCUGCCUGUAACUACAGUGGGGGGGGGUCUAGUACCCUCUUCUGGCUGCCUCGAGCAACUGCACGUACACGCACAUACCCUCACACAGACACACGUACAUACACAUAAUGAACAACAAAUCUUUUUUUAAAAAGAAAGAA